AGGGUGAAAUUAUAAGACAUCCUUCAUUAGAAUUGCUAUUAAUGCUUGUGUUUUAGAGUAGCUAACUAGAAUCAUGAUCUUAAAAUUGUAUACAACUAUGACGGUAGGUUCUUUACCUGGAUUAAUUCUCUUGAGCUAGGAUUGCUAGAAACAUGCGACAAAUGAUCUAGGACGAUUAGUAAACUUAUCGAAUAGAACCUUAAAAUCGGCCUAAGGUAGUAUCGAUCGACACUAGAAAGGUAGCGCUGAUCGAC
rnacentral:lncRNA from 1 species